CAGGAACAGCCCUUUUGUGAGACAACACUGAAACAUUUCCAAAAGAGAGACAAGGUGGGGGUGUUUGCCCAAUGCCGAGUUUCUGGAAAGAGUCAUUUCCACACAGUGCGCACACACGAAAGGCGCUGAAAAUGCUCAGAGGUGAAUGCAGUGCUGCAGAGUGGCGAGUAGCAUGCUAGGUUUGGAACCAAAGGCUUUGCAUUGGAACUCCAGGCUUUUGGCUUAAACAUGUAUGCUGCCUGGGACCAGGGCUUUCAGGAAAGCAUCUAACUUCUCUCUUGCCUGAUCUGUAGACUCUCUUUGAAAGUGCCCACCUGAUCACAUCAAGCUCACCUGGGACGAUCUCCCUUUUGAGUAACUCAAAGUCAAGUGAUUAGAAUUAUAAUUAUAUCUGCAAGAUGUCUUCACCUUUGCCUACUGAUAGAAAUGAUCUGCCGGCACUCAACAUGAGGGGAACAUACAGAAGAUGCUCCAAGUGUUAUAAUCAUGUAGAAGAUACAACAAGAAACUCAGCUUUUAAAAUACCUGGAUUGGAACACCUGGCAGUCUUAGUCAGUGGAGCACGUGACUCUUGAUCUCCGGGAUAUGAGUUCAAGCCCCAUGUUGAUUGUAGAGAUUACAUAAAUAGACUUAAAAAAAAAAAAA